GAAAAGCAUCGAAGGGAGACAGAGCGAGGAGAUGGAAGAGGAAAAUCUGGACGAGAGCGCGAGAGAUAGAGAGACUGAUGGUGGAUGAGGGUAGGAAAAGAGAGCGAGGGGUGGACAGGACUGCCAAGGUAGGGGACGAAGUGGUCGUCAGAGACGAUAACACACCAACAGAUAUAUCGAUCAUCUAUCUAGGCAGCUGUUGUACACGUCAUUCUAUACCUUGGAGCCACCUCCUGGCAUGUAGCUUUGCAAAUCACAUAUAUGUACACGUGUUCGCAUCUUUCUACGUUUCCUUCUUACGUAUAUUUUUUUGAUGCGUAACAUCAGAGGACUUUUGCGAUUUACGUUCAGAAAUAACGAUAGUAGUCCGAUUACAAACAAAGAAUGGCCAUGAUGAAAGGCAUAAUAAUAUAUCCUUCGAAAAAGAAGAGUUGUAAAGUACAGCUUACCAGUCUCUAAUUUUCAAUGUUAUUUCAAAGAAUAAAGUGGAAAGCAAUUAGAUGCGAGGACGCGUAUUACCAUCGCUAAUUUUAAACCUGCCCUAAGCGGCUCCCACGAUAGUCGCUACGAGUUCCUGUCAUCCCGUGCGAACGUGACCCCCUGUGAUGUGCCUUUGCAUUAAUCGUCGCUAAAUUAUCUAAGGUUCGAGCUUGCUAAAUACAAGUAUUUGUUGUGAUAUAUCAUAUAAUGUACUGUUAAUUAAUAUUAUUGAUAAUAUGUAUAAACGAGGGAAAAGAUUUUGAAGACGUCUGUCAAUGAAACCUUUGCUAACUUUAACUAUUGACGAAUCAACAAAGCGAUGACGUGUACUUAUGAAAGCUAAGAUUGACAAUGUCAAUAACGAUUUUAGGAUCAGUCGAACGAUCAUUUAUCUACUAUCAGUUGACAUUUAUAGCUGACCUAGCAUGCUCGUGACACGGACACAAUGCAUGUAGAAUAUGAGCAUUUUCCUGCUACAAUUGGAACGUUUCUCACGUUACAACCCUGUCACGUUGGUCACGUGUAUGUGGUAAAUGCAAUACGUGCUGCUACAUACUUCACCAUUUUGUUAUUAUUUGCAAGAGCGAACUGAAGUUAAUGCAAAGUUAUCCUUAAUAACGAUUGACACAAGACCAAUCAUAAUUUAUAUCUUUAUUCAUCUUACAAGUUGUUAAUUUUAUACUUAUAUAUUUAUUUAUGUAUUUUUUUAUCAUAUUUGUAUUAUGUCUUUAUAUAAUAUGAUUAUAUGUAUACCUUACGUGGCAUAGAAAAUAUUCAAUUUUUUAAUUGAUGUCUCUUUUAACAAUAGAAAAUGUGUAAUCGAGUAAUUAUCGUCGCGCGGAAACCUCCUUCAAAGCAGCUGCCCCUAGGCAAAGUUCUAUGCGGAGACGUAAGCGGAUUGUGAUGGAAUUGAAGUUGGUCCAGCUCAAUGCUUUGAACUUGCUCAGUGCGAGUGAGAAAGAGAGACAGAGAGAGAAAGAGAAAGAGAAAGAGAGAGAGAGAGAGAGAAAGAGAGAAAGCGAGUAGAGGAGAAAGAGAGAGACUGUGCCUACGAAUUAUACCGGACUGACUGCUCUACCCUUUUGGUGAACCUUUUAACCCUUUAAUUGCUAUCGUCGCCAUUCGUCGUCGACGGCAAUACUGAACCUCUUCAAAGUAAACCACGCGAUCACCGUCGACGAAACGAUUUCACACGCACAGAUUAAUUGCUGCGACGCGGAGAAUAGAAUGAAAAGAAGAAAAAAAAAAAAAGGAAAAAGAAGAACAAAAAAGAACAAAGGAAACAUAAAAGAAUUACUUUGAAUAUCGGAAAUUCGUCAAGCCAUAAACGGAGACAACGGGAAGAAGGGACAGCAGAAAGCGUAAUUAAUUACUACACACGUUCGAAUAAUGCGAUCGUCGGUCUGCGGUCUUCCUUUCUCCACUUACAUCUGGUUAAAUCGCAAUUACUCAGAAAGCCUCUAGCAGGAUUGGCCGGCAAAGGUCGAUGAAAGGGGCUGGCUGACAAGAACGCGCGUAACGAAAAGAUAAGAUCGUUUUUGUUUUCGUUAAGAGAUUAAUUUCAAGGUAAUAGUAAAUGUAAAUUCAAUCCUAGAACCAUCUCCCUCCAUCUACUGACACAAAAGGGUAGUUAUCCACGUGAUUAAAGAUUGUGCGUUCGACCAAAUCGAAUAACGAGAAUAAAAGUAGAAAAAGAAUAAAAAGUUUCUAAGUCCUUCUUCCAUUUUUUAAAUCUUCCAUCCUUCUCGUUACUCGCUUUAUCCUACAAGCAAUUUUUCCAUCCUCAAUUCAUUGCCCACUCUGCACUUUUCAUCAUGAAAGGGAAAAGAACGAAACUGCAAAGUGGAGAAAGUGGGAGGGGGAAGAGCGCGAACGAGAAAAAGCGUGAGAGAAUGGAAGGAAGGCAGUCCUUUUUAUAAUUGCAAAGCGUUCAUCGUUCCGGCGAGGACUUUUGAAGCGUGAGAUCAAGGCAAUCGGAUGGGGAGAAUAAAUGCGAAUAAAUCUCUCGCUGUCCAUGACACUGAGGGCUGUUUUAUCUUUCACGAAGUAAAAGUGUUCGGAGAGGAAAAUGUUAAUAGUGUACAGUAGCACUAAGAUAAAUUAAACCAAGAA